rnacentral:lncRNA from 1 species
AUUUGAUUUUAGUGGCAUUAGUUCUUUCUCUAAGAAACUCCUUUUUUAAAAAGACUGUCUUGUUGUUGACGAACACUUUUUAUUCUUCAACGAGGUAGAAGUAGUAUCCUUUAGUUUUCUUUGGAUAUCCUACGAACAAGUAUUUAUCAGACCUAGGUCCAAGCUUUUCUAUUUUUAAAUACUUGACAUAAGCCAGACUUUCCUAAACUCUAAGGUGUGAGAGCACCAGCUUAUGCCUUGACCAUAUUUUAUAUGAUGUUUUAUUUACAGACUUAUCGAGACCUUAUUAAGUAUGUAGCAGACAGUUUCAAGAGCAUAUCCCCAAAACA